rnacentral:lncRNA from 1 species
GUCCCCGCAUCUCUCCCAACCUUGGGCCUUGUUUACUUUUUUUUGCAAAAUAGGAAUAGUAGCAGUUUCGUUUGUAUUUGACAAAUAUUGUCCAAUCAUGGAAUAACUAGACUCAAAAGAUUCUUCUCGCAAAUUACAGAUAAGCUAUGUAAUUAGUUAUUUCUUUUAUUUAUAUUUAGUGCUCUAUGCAUGUGUCGCAAGAUUCGAUGUGACGAGGAAUAUAAAAAAAAAUUGUAAAAUAUAUUGGGAACUAAGGCCUUGUUUAGAUGUGAAAAUUUUUUGGAUUUCGCUACUAUAGCACUUUCGUUUUUUGUGGUAAAUAUUAUCCAAUCAUAGACUAACUAGGUCAAAAGAUUCGUCUCGUGAUUUACAGUUAAACUGUGUGAUUAAUUUUUAUUUUUGUCUAUAUUUAAUGUUUCAUGUAUAUGCCACAAGAUUCAAUGUGACAGAAAAUCUU